UACGGAGGGGGCUAGCGUUGUUCGGAAUUACUGGGCGUAAAGCGCACGUAGGCGGCUCAUGAAGGCUGUGGUGAAAGUCCGGGGCUCAACCUCGGAUCGGCCGUGGCGACUCGUGGGCUGGAGCACUGUAGAGGCGGGUGGAAUUCCGGGUGUAGCGGUGGAAUGCGUAGAGAUCCGGAAGAACACCAGUGGCGAAGGCGGCCCGCUGGGCAGUGGCUGACGCUGAGGCGCGACAGCGUGGGGAGCAAACAGG
rnacentral:rRNA from 1 species